GGUUGCGAUCGUGCCAGCACUAAAGCACCGAAUUCCAUUAGAAC
rnacentral:rRNA from 1 species